rnacentral:rRNA from 1 species
GAUGAACGCUGGCGGCGUGCCUAAUACAUGCAAGUCGAGCGAACGGACGAGAAGCUUGCUUCUCUGAUGUUAGCGGCGGACGGGUGAGUAACACGUGGAUAACCUACCUAUAAGACUGGGAUAACUUCGGGAAACCGGAGCUAAUACCGGAUAAUAUUUUGAACCGCAUGGUUCAAAAGUGAAAGACGGUCUUGCUGUCACUUAUAGAUGGAUCCGCGCUGCAUUAGCUAGUUGGUAAGGUAACGGCUUACCAAGGCAACGAUGCAUAGCCGACCUGAGAGGGUGAUCGGCCACACUGGAACUGAGACACGGUCCAGACUCCUACGGGAGGCAGCAGUAGGGAAUCUUCCGCAAAGGGCGAAAGCCUGACGGAGCAACGCCGCGUGAGUGAUGAAGGUCUUCGGAUCGUAAAACUCUGUUAUUAGGGAAGAACAUAUAUGUAAGUAACUGUGCACAUCUUGACGGUACCUAAUCAGAAAGCCACGGCUAACUACGUG